rnacentral:rRNA from 1 species
AUAAGUAAAGAUUUUAAGGGCGUACGGUGGAUGCCUUGGCGAUAUCAGCCGAAGAAGGACGCGGUAAGCUGCGAUAAGCUACGGAGAGGUGCAAGCAACCUGUGACCCGUAGAU